CUCGACACUUGAUGCAUGGUGUAUGACGACACACGACUCAUGCUAUAUCCAACAUAUUUGAUCUCGUCUUCUGAAUCUAUAUCCCUAAACGACGACACUUCUUGACUUGAAAUUCUCUUUUGAUUCUCUCUACAUCAGUAUGGCUAGAAAAUUCAAUAUUCCUCCUCAGGAUCGUUUCCUAGACCAAGCGACUAACCUAUCCUCUUAUAUUGGGACGACUAACAAGUUAGUGAAAGAGAAGCUUACCCCUACUCAGCUUGCCCUCUUCAAGAAGACGGUAUUUGAAUGUUUUGUAGAUAUGGACAUUAUCUUCAACAAACCAUUAACCAUUACAUUCUAUUAAGGGAGGUUGAAGACGAUAGAAAGGAUGCAACGAUGUUCGAUUUGAAUGGUACGAUUGUAACAUUCUCCAAAGAAAAAUUCAUGUUGGUGACGGGAUUGUGGCAGUUACCUAAUCCAGUAGUUGUAGGAGGGUUGAAGCACUUGGAUUACUGUGUAGUAGGUACUUCAGGAAUGAUUUUGCGGGUGACAUUCACAUUAGUACCUUAGAGUCAGUGUACAAGGAGAUGCAGUUUGAGAAUGACAUGGACGCUGUGAAGAUGACAUUAGUCUAUUACACUGAAUUGGCUAUGAUAGGGAGGGAGAAGAUGAGGGCCAAUAUCGACAAAACCUUAUUAAGUGAUGUGGAGGAUUUGGAUUAGUUUAACAAUGUCAAUUGGGGAAAUGUGCUAUGGAAGAAGAUGUUACUUGGACUACAAGAGGAUUGAAUGGUAAGGCUGAGAACUACAAGAAAACGUCCAAGAACAAUAAGAGCUACAUUGUCAAGUACAACCUACUAGGGUUUUCUCAUGCAUUCCAGGUAUGGGCAUACGAGAUCAUAUCAACGGUUGCUGGAAAGAUUGCAACCUGACUGAAUAAAUAUAACCUAUAGUUUCUAUUAUCUCACUAAUGACAUUUAGUAUAAAUCCUAUUUAUUUGGUUAAAUUCAUAUAAUUAAUAUGUGAAUCAUAUUCAAAUAUUUAUUUCCUC